rnacentral:rRNA from 1 species
AUUGAACGCUAGCGGGAUGCUUUACACAUGCAAGUCGCACGAGCGGCGGACGGGUGAGUAAUGUAUGGGGACUGCCCGAUAGAGGGGGAUAACUACUGGAAACGGUAGCUAAUACCGAAUACCAGAGGAUAACCCAUAUGGGAUUAGCUAGUAGGUGAGGUAAUGGCUAACCUAGGCGACGCUCCCUAGCUGGUCUGAGAGGAUGACCAGCCACAAGGAGACGGCGAAACGGCCCCGACCCCUACGGAGGCAGCAGUGUGGAAUAUAUCACAAGGUGCGCAAGCCUGAUGCAGCCAUGCCGCGUGUGUGAAGAAGACCCUCGGGUUGUAAAGUACUUUCAGUCGGGAGGCGUUACCGACAGAAGAAGCACCGGCUAACACCGUGCCAGCAGCCGCGGUAAUAC